CCUACGGGUGGCAGCAGUGAGGAAUAUUGGUCAAUGGCCGGAAGGCUGAACCAGCCAAGUCGCGUGAGGGACGACUGCCCUAUGGGUUGUAAACCUCUUUUAUAAGGGAAGAAUAAAUGCUACGUGUAGCAUGAUGCCUGUACCUUAUGAAUAAGCAUCGGCUAACUCCGUGCCAGCAGCCGCGGUAAUACGGAGGAUGCGAGCGUUAUCCGGAUUUAUUGGGGUUAAAGGGUGCGUAGGCGGUUUUUUAAGUUAGUGGUUAAACGUCGGGGCUUCACCUUGAUUUACCAUUAAUACUGUAAGACUCGAGUUCAGACGAGGUAGGCGGAAUAAGUUAAGUAGCGGUGAAAUGCGUAGAUAUAACGUAGAACCCCGAUUGCGAAGGCAGCCUUCCGGCGCCCUACUGACGCUGAGGCACGAAAGUGCGGGGAUCGAACAGGAUUAGAUACCCUGGUAGUC
rnacentral:rRNA from 1 species